GAUGAAGAACGUAGCGAAAUGCGAUAAGUAAUGUGAAUUGCAGAAUUCAGUGAAUCAUCGAAUCUUUGAACGCAUCUUGCGCUCCUUGGUAUUCCGAGGAGCAUGCCUGUUUGAGUGUCAUUUAACUUCUCAACCAGACAUCAGAUUAUCUUUUGAUGCUUGGCUUGGAUCUGGGGGUUGUUUGCAGGCCUUCUUGUUCAAGGAGGUCGGCUCCCCUGAAAUGUAUUAGUGGUAUCUGAGGCUAUUGCUAUUAGGUGUGAUAAUUAUCUAUGUCUUUUGGCAUGCCCCAUGAACAGAUUACACUGCUUCCAACAAAAAAAAACAAUUUUGAUGAAUUUGACCUCAAAUCAGGUAGGACUACCCGCUGAACUUAAGCAUAUCAAUAAGCGGAGGA
rnacentral:misc_RNA from 1 species